rnacentral:lncRNA from 1 species
UGAGCUUCAGGGUAUUCCCUACAAUAUACGACAUAGUUAUUGGUGGUUGUUUUAUUGUUGUUGCACAUCCCUCUGAGGGCUGUACCUUAAGGCAGGCUGCCCUUUUGUAUUCUCUGUAUGUCAAAUUCCUUAUUGACUAGCUGUGUGUUGCUUGGCAUUUGUUGAACAUGUAUGUUUUAUCCCUAUCAGAUAUUGGGGCUAUAUACAACUUGAUUAUAAAGUUGCAACUUACUCCCUCCGUUCCAAAAUAGAUGACCCAACUUUGUAUUAAAGUUAGUAUAAAGUUGAGUCAUCUAUUUUGGAACAGAGGGAGUAGAUUUUAUGAUCUCGAAUCUCACCAGUUGUGCACAACUCCUGUACAGCAU